AAUCCCACCCCCUUAACAGAUAGUGACCAGAGGGGGCUCAAGGGAGCCUUCUAGAGUACUGGAACUGUUUUGUUGUUUGACUUGGGUGCUAGUUACAUAAGAUGUUGUCACUUGGUGAAAAUGUAUCUACCUGAAUGCUUUGUUAUACUUUAACAUAAAAAUAAAAACAUAUUUAUUACUUUUAGUUGUGUUCACUUGAUUCCCCUGAAUAUUUUGGGGAGAUUUUAAAUAUUUAAGGUAUUCAAUUAAAUAGAAAUAUUAUCUAGAAAAAGAAAGGAUGCCUUUGUCUUGUCAUUUGGAAUAGUUAUACCUCAUUUCUUCUUGUAUUGGCUCCAACUUUCAGAAAAAUGUUAAAUGACAGAGAUGACGGUUACUAUUACUCUUGCCCUGGCUUUCAGGAGAACACUUCUGAAGUCUCAACAUUAAGAAUGAAGGUGAUGAUUGGUUUGAGAGAUUCUUUUACCAUGUAAAGUAUCUUCCCAUUCCUAUUCUACUAAUAAUUUUAUUGGACAUGGAUGCUGUAUCUGGGCAGUGUAUUGGGCACAGCGUUUUUUGGGGGAGGCAGCAAAGUUAGUAUCAGGGCAAUAAAAGAAAAUUUGCACAGAGUAAACAGCUGACAAACUUCUACCUGAUUUGAGUUGUCUGUUAUUCUCUUUCUAUCACUUACCUCUGAUUCUCUUUAGGUCAAUAAUCUUAAAAAAGAGAAUAAUUUUAAUUAUUGAGCCUAUCAUUUAUUUAAUGAAGUUUUAGAUUACCUAAUGCCACGCUGAGUAACAGCAGAACUGAAACUUUUAACCUUCUCUUCUUACAAUUAGCUUUCUUUUAAAAAAUACAGUAAAUUUGUGAACUACUCCCUAUAGGUCAGUGGCUCUUAAUAGAAAAUGUGCUCCCCAUUCCUGACAUAUUAUUUGACUUUCACAGAAGCAUGACAUAUUAACUCUCAAUCCAAUUAACUGCUCAACUCCAGAUUGAGCUGUUAUUGUCUUACCCAAUCUCUGGAACUAUUUUUUAGGGAUAUAACUACAGCCUUAAUAUUAAAAUAAGCUACUCUCAUAGUGGAUGCAACAACAGAUGCUGCAAACUAACUCCCUAAUAUCGAUUUAUUCCUUAAUUUUUUUUUAUUAACGGAAGGCCGUUUUUCUGAGAGCUGCCCAACUACAAUGUUUGCCUCCCCAGACCUACUUGCAGCACUUGUCAGAUGCUGCUAUUUACAAUUUAUUUGUCAGAACUCACUGUUUUCAGGAAUAUUUCUGAAAAGGGUAUGGACAAUGGGUAUGCAUCUUUUGCCUUCUUUCCUUCUUCCUGUGUGCAAUGGGAAUGCAGUGCUUGGAAGUGCAGCAGCUGUCUUCCCAUUAAGAAGACGAAUACAGCUUAUGAAAGAUGGAAGAAAAGAAAGACAAGGAGCCUGUGUCAUCAGUGGCAUCUUUUAAGCCACUAUCUCGACCACGGAUUACUUACCUCCAGGCUUACUGUUAUAGGUGGGGAGGGAGUCAGAAGAAAACCUUACUUGCUUAAACCACUAGACUCAAGGUUCUGUUACAUGCAUCAAGAAAUUCUUAGAAGGAGUGUACCCAAUUAUGGUUAAAGUGCUACAUUUAUGUAAAAAUGUAUCCAACAAGAUCUUAUUAACACUAAAAGAUCUAAAAUGGACACACAUUUGUUUUAUUAGUUAUUAGUAACAGAACUUUCAAGAAGUCUUCCACACAUAUCCACACACAUACAGAAACACAAACACACAGCUAUGCCCACAGAGGCUUUUCAUGUCAAUCAUAUACUUACUAUAUAAUUAAGAUCAAUUGAACUAAGACUAUGUAUUUUCUGGAAUAAUUUUUUUUUGCCAUUUUGUGCAAAAAUACUAUGAAUCUAGUGAAAAUGUGUAAAUUUCAGGAUGGAAACAAGUAGUCUCUUUAGAGCUAUUAUAAUUUCAAAUUUAUGCAAUGGAGGCAAAUAACAAGCUGACCAGAAUUUGACUCCUUUCCUCAGCGAGCUGCCCAGUAGGUAAUUGACAAAGCAUUCAGAAUAGAGUUCUGGAUCUGGCAUAUCAAGUUCUGACUCUGCAAACUUUUUCAAUGGUAUUAGACAGAACAUCAUAACCUUUGAGCCUCAGUUUCCUCAUCUGGAAAAUGAGAGUAAUGCUACCUGUUCUACUUGUACAAGUUUGGGCAGAUGAUCAAAUAAGGUAUCAUAAAUAAAGCUUCUUAUAAAUGGUAAAUUGCUACCUAAGUCAGGAUAACAUGAUUAUGAUUACCUUAUAAACUGAUCCUUAAUUAUCUGGGAGGUGACUAAACUGCACAUGAAUUAUAGACCUGAUGCUUUUUCCUCUCGCCCCCAAUGAGUGUUAGCCAUUUCAUUAGCACUAAAAUAAAUGAGGCAAGAAAAUGCAGAAACUAAAACUCAGAAAGGCCGGCUUGAAUUAAAAAAAAAAAAUUGUAACUCAUUCUUUUAAGAAAACAGUUUUCCACGACCCAAUAUAGUUGUUCCCUAAUUAUUUAAUAACAAAUAGAAAACUGGGCAAUAAAAAAAUCCCUUCUAGAAAAAAAGCCACUUAAUUUUAAAGCAUAUAAACACUUUUGCCCACUAGAAACGUCAGCCCGGGCAUUUCUCAUGCAUUGUGCUAUCUUGCAGAUCUCCAGUACUUCCAUCACCACCCGCUACCUCCUCUAUCACCAUGUUGUGCCCGGCCUGCAGCCACACAUGCACAACAAUAUAAAGGGGAUCUGAUAAAUCUAACUAAAUGAGCCCCACGUUUUUAUGAGAGCCCACAAGAAUACAUCAAGGUAGAUGCAGAGAAACAGCCUUAAAGUAGUAGCAGUGGCAGCAGCUGGGGAGUUGGGAAUUAUUUGCCAAAGGGAAUGGCAUUAAUGAUUUGAAUUAUUAGAGCAUGUGCCCACAUCCUCAUUUAAGUAAGGGCUCCAUAAAGAAAAAUAAGUGUGCAUUGCUUUCCAGGAAUCCUGAUAGUUAGAACGUCAGAAACAACAUUAACAUGCUUUAUUCCAUUGACACAGGCCACAAAGCCUGAACACACCCCAUGAGUGCCUGAAGAACUCCACUGUGCCUUUCUACAGGAAUACCCUCUUUGCUGAUGCAGUGUGGCUUGACCUUGACGUCAUUACUCUGCAUCAUAGUGCAAUAAUUAACGUCUGUCCAAAAUAAUAAUAAUAGUAGAUAGAGUGACUGCAGAUAAGAAAAACAGGCGGCCGGGCGCGGUGGCUCACGCCUGUAAUCCCAGCACUUUGGGAGGCCAAGGCGGGCGGAUCACGAGGUCAGGAGAUCAAGACCAACCCGGCUAAAACGGUGAAACCCCGUCUCUACUAAAAAUACAAAAAAUUAGCCGGGCGUGGUGGCGGGCGCCUGUAGUCCCAGCUACUUGGGAGGCUGAGGCAGGAGAAUGGCGUGAACCCGGGAGGCGGAGCUUGCAGUGAGCCGAGAUCCCGCCACUGCACUCCAGCCUGGGCGACAGAGCGAGACUCCGUCUCAAAAAAAGAAAGAAAGAAAAACAGGCAACCAGGUACAUAUGGGUAGUGGAAAAGGAAGAGUGUGUAAACUGCUUAACUCAUUCUUCAGAUGAUGGUUGUUGUGAAAACAUUCAUGAUGGAUUAUUUCCUGCCACAUCAGCCUUUCAAGCGGUACUACGCAGGCUGUUGGAUGUCUCAUUUUGUUUUAAACAGGAAUACUAAAAUAAUCCACUUGGAUGGAGUUCUCCAGUAAGCCACCUUUCUUCGCAAUUCUUAUAAGGUCAAAAUAAAGGACAACAUUAAAUUGCGAAUGCCAAUGACACCCCAAGUGGUUCAGAGCUGGUGUUUGGGAAGAGACGAGAAAGAUCAUGCAAUAGAUCUGCAAUCAGCAUUAUGCCAGCCCCAAAUAUUUGGAAAAUGACAGAUGAAAAAGUUACAAACAUGUCUAGAAUACACGCUGCAGGGGAAGAAGCAACCACAUAAAUGAAACUUCAUAAAGAAUGUAGAAAACAGCCCUGCACCGCUGACAGCACAGAGUGACAUCUAAGGAUUG